rnacentral:rRNA from 1 species
GACGAACGCUGGCGGCGUGCUUAACACAUGCAAGUCGAACGGAAAGGCCCUGCUUUUGUGGGGUGCUCGAGUGGCGAACGGGUGAGUAACACGUGAGUAACCUGCCCUUGACUUUGGGAUAACUUCAGGAAACUGGGGCUAAUACCGGAUAGGAGCUCCUGCUGCAUGGUGGGGGUUGGAAAGUUUCGGCGGUUGGGGAUGGACUCGCGGCUUAUCAGCUUGUUGGUGGGGUAGUGGCUUACCAAGGCUUUGACGGGUAGCCAGCCUGAGAGGGUGACCGGCCACAUUGGGACUGAGAUACGGCCCAGACUCCUACGGGAGGCAGCAGUGGGGAAUAUUGCACAAUGGGCGGAAGCCUGAUGCAGCAACGCCGCGUGCGGGAUGGCGGCCUUCGGGUUGUAAACCGCUUUCGCCUGUGACGAAGCGUGAGUGACGGUAAUGGGUAAAGAAGCACCGGCUAACUACGUG